UUGACUAUGAUCCAAUGAGGAGUGGUAGGUUGACCAGGUAUUUGUAACAGAGGUGAUUAGUGUACAUGAGCUGCAGCUGGAACCCUGACUCCCACACACCAGACUUCACUCCUGCAAUUAAGGACAGACAGAGGGGAGGGGGAGAGCAGAGACAGAGAGCUACCUAGCAGCAGCAGCCACCGCAGCCCUAACAGUCAAUUUAAGGGUUGCCUGGACCACGCCCCGUCUCCUCCCCUCCGGUGGUUGAGCCCGGUGGCAGAUCUGGCGGCGUCUGACGGUUCAACGGCGAGGGCUGUCCGGUAACCACCCGAGACUGGCGGCAGGAAGCGGAGAACCUCUUUGACAACACAGUCGACGUAGCGGAGCUGGCUCAGCUUGUCCAGGCUCAGAUACGGCAC